UACAGAGGUCUCGAGCGUUAGGCGGAAUCACUGGGCUUAAAGCGUGUGUAGGCGGAUCGUUAAGUACCUUGUGAAAUCCCACGGCUUAACCGUGGAACUGCUUGGUAUACUGGCGGUCUUGAGCCAGCUAGGGGCUACCGGAACAAAUGGUGGAGCGGUGAAAUGCGUAGAUAUGUCACAGAACACCAAUUGCGAAGGCAGCUUACUAAAGUAUGAUUGACGCUGAGGCACGAAAGCGUGGGGAGCAAACAGG
rnacentral:rRNA from 1 species